rnacentral:lncRNA from 1 species
GCGGCCUGCAGACUCCAUGCCUUUCGGCGUCCACCCUCGCGCCCCAGUCCCGGCCCACUGCGUACCCCUUCCCUGACCUGGACCUUUCCGGGCCGUGUGCUCCUAGUCGUCCUCUCCUCGAGGUGCCCCGCUGUGACCAGCAGACCUGCACACAGACGCAAGACAGGAUAAACAUCUGGGAAGCACAGGUAUAUGAGGCACAGAAACACAAGGCACUGUGGAUGCCUCUUCUGUCUGGACAGAAAACUGGAGUCAGGAGACCUCUCUGAGUCCCCAGAGACAGAAUCAUCACUACUGUGUGUCCUUGGGUAAGUCACUCCUAAUGUGCUGACAUCACCUCUGUAACACACCAAGAUCUUCACAUCUUGGGCACUCAACAAAAGGCAAUCAUAAUUAUUUCUUGUAUAUCUACUGGGGUAUGUCAGGAUGAGGGAGACAAAGGCCAACCACAAGGAAACAAUACUUUCCUCUAGAGACCUUUGGGAACCUCACUAUUAACUGAGUGCCUGGAUGUGCCCUACACGGGGAUAGCUGCUUUAUGUGGGACAGUGGGAUAUCCCAAGUACCCUCUCAACAGCCUGUGAGUAAAGAGUCUUUGCCCCAUUAGAUGAAUGAGAAACCCAAGGCUCAGAGAGAUUUAAGUAAACUGUUCAAGGUUACACAAGCUGGUUACUGCCAAGCCUGAGAACCAACCUAGGUCUUAGAAUGAGGACUACUAUCUCAAUGUGUCCCUAUGUUAUCUCCCAUUUUCUCUACUCAACUUCCUUCCCUGUGAUCACUGAUGAGUCAAUAAUUAUUUCUCAGGGACCUACCGAUGUCUAACACUUUACUGUGUUCUUUAAGAGAAAAGGGCUAGGUAUCAGAGGAGGAAGAUCUUUCACCUUGGUGAAUGAUAUGCUCUCUGGGUAGGCAGAGAGCCUCUUCACAUGAGGCCACUUGAAGAAAGAGCUAAAGGAAAAGUCACUAGGCCAGUGACUUUGGGCCACUGUCAAUGGGCCAAUAGGAGCUCAGAGAAGGCAAUGGCCAGGUUUGCUGGAAAUAGACAGAGAAAGCUUCAAGGAGGAAAAGGACCUUGACUUGGGCCUCAGAUGAUAGGCGGGACCUACAAGGAGGUAGGGAGGGAAAACUCAGCUGUUUGACUAUAGUUCCUGGUCUUACAUUAAUUAUACUGGCCUAUCUUUAUUAAAUGGUCAGGUUGCCCCAACUUGAAAUCAAGGUCUCAUCUGAUUUGUCCCUCUCCCACAGACAAAGCUCUCCUUCCUGCUUCGCUGUAUCUCCUGAAUCUGUCACUACCUUAGAGCUUCACCAUUUCUCAUUUGAACUCUUAGAAUAAUCUCUUCUCUAGUUUUCCUGCUUCCAGCCCUGCCCCUUCCUUAAGAUAAAUCUUGUACAUUACCAUCAAAUUAAACUUUACUCUUCCCUGCUUUUAACUGCCAUUCUCCUGCUUGAAGGCGCUGACGGUAAACCUACCACCCACAGAGUAAAUUCUGCACUCUUCAUCCUGACAUUCAGCAUCCAUCAGAAUUGAGCCCCAGGACACACAUUCUCAACCUAGUCAUGCACUUCUCUGCCCUCACUCAAUGUGCCCCAAGUAUGCCUUAUUCUUCCCUCUCAUUGUCCUUAUGUGUCAUUUACUUCCUGCCAACUGCCUUCUUAUUCCCCCUAGAGGUCCUAGUCCUGCCCAUUCUUAGAGGCCAACCCUCAUCACUCAGCCUCUGAAGCCACCCUAGCUGGAAGUGAUCUUUCCUUCCCCUGUUGCACAGGGUCUCUACCUUUCAUGUUGCCCUUAACAAAGGUUUUUGUACCAUAUAUCCUUGUACCUUUCCACGUUUGUGUGUGUGUGUGUGUGUGUGUGUGCACGUGUGCACUGGGAGAAAUAGUGGUAGCUCAUCAGGGAGGUGGUCAGAUGUGGGACAUCAGAUAUGAUCUUGUCUUCUAUGGUCCCUAUGCUGAUACAUGGUGAUUUGCUCAGAAAAUCUCAGUCUCCGAAGAAGCUGUUUUCCAAUUGGCUCAUAGCUGAACCUGCUUUCUGUGUUCACAAAGGUUGGAGUAGAGGUUUAACUCCUCUUCUGUUUAAUGGGCUUUUGAUAUAAAAAGAAAUUAAUCACAUUCUGAAAGAAGAGCCAUCCCUGAACUCUCAAGUCUAGAUCCCUUAUCUGUUCUUUUAGCACCUUUAUUUCCCCAUUGUUAACACUCAUUAGGUUUUGUAAUUGGCUCUUUCCAUUUCUGUAUCCCCCUAUAAGCCCCCUAAAGAUGGAGACUGUGCCAUAUUCAUCUUUGCAUCCUCUUGCAUGAUUAUUCAAAUAUCCCAUUGAUGAAAACAGGUAUAUAUAUGUGUGUGUGUGUGUGUGUGUGUGUGUGUGUGUGUGUGUGUGUGUGUAUAUGUAUAUAUGUGUGUGUGUGUGUGUAUCUGCUUCUGGUAAUGGCGGACUAGAUGAUUUAGAGCAACCCACCCAUUGAAAAGAACUACAAAACGUCAGAUCUCUAAAAGGCUACAAAAUUAAUACAAUUGUGAGGAAUUGCUAGGUUAUACUACAAGAGAACAGAAGCAUCCAGAGAGGUAAGCCUAGGACUUAAAACUAUAUUUUUAUUGAAGGUAUCUGUGGUUGAGUAAUAAGCCUGUGCUAAACUGCGUGGAACUUAUGGCACAUUCAAGGCACUAUAGUAACAGAAGUCAGAGCCCAAGGCCCAUCAAAAGGGGUGGAGUGUUUCCUGACAAACCAUCACCCAUAGUAUGCUGGGAACCGCAAAUGUUUAUACCUUCAGGGUAAUUGUAAUCAAAAAAUAUACUAGCCCUUACAAAGUCUUGUAGCUUGGCUUUGCAUCAUCUGGGUGGACUAGUGAACUGUAAGUUCUGAACAAAUAUUAUGGUGGUAACAAACAGGAAGCAUUUUUUUUUUUUUUUUUUUUUUUUUUUUUUUUUAGACAGAGUCUCACUCUGUUGCCCAGGCUGGAGUGCAAUGGCGCAAUCUCAGCUCACUGCAACUUCCAUCUCCCAGGUUCAAGCAAUUCUUAUGCUUCAGCCUCCUGAGUAGCUGGGAUUACAGGCAUGCACCACCACGCCUGGCUAAUAUUUUUGUAUUUUUAGUAGAGACAGGGUUUCGCCAUGUUGUUCAGGCUGGUCUCAAACUCCUGACCUUGUGAUCCACCCACCUUGGCCUCCCAAAGUGCUGGGAUUACAGGCGUGAGCCACCGCACCUGGCCAGGAGGCACUCUUAUGGGCCUGACCAAUGCAAAUAAAAUCUUCUCUAGAGUAAGAUUUUUAUCAUCUUAGGCCUUAGAUUAUUACAACAAUUGCUGAAAUACAAUAUCCACACACAAAGAUAACCAGGUGCACGAAAAAAAUACGUUAUGAGUAACAAAUAGAAACAACAGGCAACACAAAUAGAUCAAUAUGAUUUGAAUUAUUUGAUUUAUCAGGUACAGAUUAUUAAACCACAAUACUUACUGUAUUCAGAUAAAACCUCAUCUUGAAGAUUUCAAUAUAAAUAAAUAAGAAAUAAAUAAAUAAAAUUCAUAUUUAAAAUCUUCCAAAAUGUUUCCGACCAGGAAAAUUUUAGGCCCAGAUAACUUCACUAGUGAAGAAAAUAAUAUCCAUCCAACACAGUCUUCCAGAUAAUUAAAAAAGAGAGAAUACUCUGCAAGUCAUUUUAAGAUUUGGUAUAACCUUAAUAUCAAAACCCGACAAGGUCAUUAUGGGAAAAGAAAAAUAUAGGUCAAUGUAACUCAUUGACAUAACUGAAAAAAAAUUUAAAGAAGAAAGAACCUGACCAUAUAUGAGAAUAAUAAUAUACUACAUACAAGUUAAGGUAUUCCAGAAAUGAAAGAUUGGUAUAAUAUUUGAAAAUCAAUUAAUGUAAUUUACCACAUUAAGAGAAUAAAGUCUAACAAUCAUAUGAUUAUUUUAAUAGAUGAAGAAAAAAGUAUUUAUAAUAGAAGCCCUUAUUAAAUGGGAAGAGACAGAAAGGGACUUCCUUGAUUUGUUAGAAUAUGUUUAUAAAAAACAUAUAGCAAACAUAAAAUAUAAUGAUGAGUAUAGAAAGCUUUCUCUUUGAAGCUGAAGCUGAGAUUAGGAAGCCCCAGAUCUUUUUAAAAUUUGACUGUAGGUCCCAGGCCAGUGAAAAUAAAAAGAUGAAGGCAGGAAGGCAAAAGGAAGGAAGGAAGGGAAGAAGAAAGAAAAGGUAGAGAAUUGGAAAGGAAGAAAUGAAACUGUCAUGCACAGACAACAUGACUGUAAUUUAGGAAAUCUAAAAGAGUCCAUAUAUAAAAAUUUUGGAAUGAAUAAAUGAGUUCAUCAAGUGUUCUGGAUAUGACAAUAUACAAAAUUCAGUUGCAUUUCUUAAUCAGCAAAAAAACAGUUACAAAAUGGAAGUUUUAAAUCCAAUACAUGAUGAAUGUUACUGAGAUCUUUAAAUAAAUAAAUGGAAUAUAUACCAUGGUCAUGGGUUGGAAGACUCAGUGUUAGGAAGAUGUCAAUUCUCUUCUAACUGACCUAUAAUUACAAUGCAAUCCUAAACAAAACUCCUCCUUCAUUCUCUCCUUCCCUUCUUCCUUCCUUUCAUGGCACUUGACAAGCUGAUUCUAAAGAUUAUAUACAAACACAAAAAGUCAAGAAUAACUUACACAUUAUUGAAAAAAUCCCAAUCUGGAGGACUUUGCUCUGUCUACUAAAUACCAAAACUUAUUAUAAAAUCUAAAUAUUGACACGUUAUAAAGUCAUAGUAGUUUAGUGUGAUACUAAUCCAAGGAUAGCCAAAGAGACCAAUGGAAUCAAAGAGAGAUCCCAGAAACAGACCCAUGCAUUAUGGAUUGCUGAUUUACAAUAAACGUGCAUUGUUAAGCACUGGAGGAAAGGAUAACUUUUAUCAAAUGACACUGAAUGAACUGCAAUAUAUAAUAUGGAAAAUGUAAAUCUUGACCCCUACCUCACAUUAAACAUGUGAUGGGUUAAUUUUUUGUGUUAACUUAACUGGGCCACAGAAUGCCCAGACAUUUGUUCAAAUGUUAUCCUGGGGUAUUUCUGGAUGAGAUUAACAUUUAAAUUGGUAGACAGAAUAAAACAAAUUGCCCUUCCUAACAUAGGUGGGCCUCAUCCAACCAAUUGAAGACCUCAAUAGAAUACAAAGGCUGAGUAAGAGGGAACUUCUGUCUGAUUGUUUGAACUGGGACAUUGGUCUUUUCUUGACUUCAAACUUGAACAGAAAAAUCAACUGUCCUUGGGUCUUGAGCCUGUCUCGAACUUGCUGACUAUAGAUCUUGGGACUUCUUAGCCUCCAUAAUCACAUGAGCCAAUUCCUUGUAAUCUCUCUCUCUCUCUCUCUCUCUCUCUCUCUGUGUAUAUAUAUGUGUGUGCGUAUAUGUAUAUAUAUAUAUAUGUGUGUGUGUAUAUAUAUAUAUAUAUAUGUGCUAUAUAUAUUUGCUAUGGAUUGGUUCUGUUUCUCUGAAAAACCCUAAUGCAAUACACAAAAACUAAUUUGUGGUCAAUUAUACAUCUGUCUUCUAGAAAAUAAUAUAGAAUAUCUUUAUAACUAUGAUGUAGGCACAGACUUUUUAAACUGGACACAGAGUACUUAUCAUAACUAUCAUUCCAUUGAAAUUAAGACAUUCCAUUAGUCAAAUGACACCACAAAGAGAGUAAAAAGACAUGCCACAAAGUUGGUGAGCUAUUUGCAAUACAUUUCACUGACAAAGAGCUCAGAUGCAGAAUAUAUUUUUAAAAUCCUACAAAUUAAUGUGAAAAAGACACAUAAGCCAAUAGUAGAAUGGGAAUAAUACAACCACUUCGUAAAAGAGGAUAUCUAAAUUGUCCAAAAAAAUGAAAGUGUGCUCAGCUUCAUUAGUUAUCAGUGAAAUGAAAAAGGCAGAUAAUAACAAGCAAUGGUGGUGAUGUACAGCACCAAGAACUGUUAUCACUACUGAUGGAAGUGUAAACUGAUACAACCAAUUUGGAAGUUUGGCAUCAUAUAUUACAGUUGAACAUGCAAUUCUCCUCAUAGAUAGCUACCCAACAGAAAUUUGUGUACGUGUAUACUGAGAGGUAUAUAUAAGAAUUUUCAUAGCCGCAUUAUAUAUAAUAUUGAAAAGCUGGAAAUAACCUAAAUUUAUAUAAAGAACAAAACAAUAGCAUAAACUGUGAUAUGUUCAAUAAUUGUAUACUACACAUCAAUGCAAAUAAAUUAAUUAAAUCUAAACAUAGAAACAUGGAUUCAUACCAUAAACAUAACAUUUUAGCUCAGGCUGCUAUAACAAAAUACUAUGGCUUAUAAAAAGCAAAUUUAUUUCUCAUAGUUCUGGAGGCUGGGAAGUACAGGAUCAAGGUGAUAGAUUCAGUGUCUGGUGAGGGCCCUCUUCCUCACAGAUGGCUGUUUUUCACUGUAACCUCACAUGGUAGAAGAGUGAGGGAGCUCUCUGGGGUCUCUUUCAUAAGGGCACUAAUCCCUCCCAGUGGCCCCAACUCCUAAUACUAUCACCUUGGAAGUUUGGAUUUCAACAUAUAAUUUUUUGGGGGAGGGACAUAAACAUUCAGUUUCAUUGUAUAUAGUAUUGAAUAAAAUAUGCCAGCCAUAAAAAAUACAUGCUGUAUAGUUCCAUUUAUAUACAGUUCACAAAACAGGCAAUAUCCUAAACUGUACUGCUUAGGAUAUAAAAUAUAAAGAAAAACAAGGAAAGGGUUACCAUAAAUUUCAGGAUUAUUAUUAGCUCUAGUGGUAAGGAAGGGGGAUGACUGAAGGGGACAUCAAUGGCAUUUCUGGACUGCUAACAGUAUUCUACUUCUUGACAUGAGUGGUGAUUACCCAGUUUUUCAUUUUGUAAUAAAUAAUUUAGCUCUACAUCUUGUGAAUGUGUGUGACUCUAUAUGUGUGCUAUCUUUCAUGAUCAAAUGUUAAAAUGGCAGAACCACAGGAGAAACAAAUUCACAACCAUAAUGAGAAACUUAAUAUGUUAAGUUUAAAUUGUUAUCAGUAACUGAUAGAGCAAGCAGAUAAAAAUUCAGAAAUGAUAAAGAAGCUUGGAACAAUUUGACAAACUUUUCUAAAGGACGUAUACAGAACUCUGAACCCAGUAAAUGUAGGCAUGAAACAUUUUUACAAAAAUUAAUUAUUAGGUCAUAAAGAUGUCACAAUAAAUACAAAAGGAUUGCAGUUAUACACAUGUUCUCUGACCCUCAAUACACCUAUACAGAAAUCAAUAAUUAAUAACAAAAAGAAAACUAGAAAACUUCCAUAUUUGGGAAUAUUUUUGCCCUUUUCUCACAUCAUUCCUCCUGGCAUUUUGUACUAAGAGAAUUUGAUUUGGUGUUAGAGAAUUCAGGCUCUAUGAGGGGCAUACUUUUUGGCCCAAUAUAACUAGUGGGGGUCACAAGUGAAAGGAGAGUCAUCAAAUCUACUGUAAAUAUGGGAUAAUUGAUAUUUGGAGUGGUCAAAAAAUGUUUCCAAGAUCAAAGAGCUGAUAGUAAGUUCCAGUAGUAACUGGAACUCAUGACCCCAAUAGUCCAUGAUCUUAAGAUACUCUGCUAGACUGCAUCUCUCAUAUCCUGUGAGUUGUAUGUGUGGUGAUGGGCAGGAGUCAGCUACUUUGUGCUCCAUUUUGAAGAUAAAAAGACAGCUGGUCCUGGACCCUAAGUCUGUGGACUCUAUUCUCAGUAAACUCAAUGACUGGCCUGUGUAAUUUAAGAAGGCCCUGCUCUCUACAUCUCAGAGCUUUUUUCAUAACAAAUGUCUACUCUCUAGGGGGAAAGAUUUUACCAGAGCUCUGUCUCAGAGCUGUGGGGUAACAGUGAUUACCUAGCUCCAUCACCCUCUACACUUCUUGUGUCAUCUAAGGGGAGGAUCGACGCUAUACAAAAAGAAACACUUGCGAAGGUCACAGGCCAGAGACAUAGGUCCACUAAAAGAUGGAGAUUUAAUUGGAAGAUUAUAGAAUACUCCCUAUCCCCAAUGUCUUAUCACUACACCAUCAGGGCUCUAGUAUAAUAGUAAAUUACAAUGGAAAGAGCUGCAAAAACCAGAGUGUUUCUGUUUGGGAAGCCCAAAGUCAAGAGGGGAGACAAAAACAGGAACACUGAGAAAUUUGAUGCCUCUAGCACCUAUAGCAAUAGCAAACAUUAAUCAAAUCACAACUCCUAGCCAGAUUAACAUAGCUCCUUACACUAGAGGCUUAUUUACCUUAUUUACCUCAGUUCCUAUAUACCUGAUAUAGCAUGUCUAGUUUUUAACAAAAAAUUACAAGACAGCAAAAGCAAGGGGAAAAAAAGUUCUGAAGAAACAAAGCAAGCUUCAGAACCAGACUCAGAUAUGAUACAGUUUUUGAAAUUGUAAGACAAGGAAUUUAAAAUAACUAUGAUCAGAAUGGGUGUGGUGGCUCAUGCCUGUAAUUCUAGCACUUUGGAAGGCCAAGGUAGGAGGAUUGUUGAGGCCAGGAGUUCAAGACCAGUCUGGGCAACAGAGCAAGACUUCGUCUCUUAAAAAAAAAAAAAAAUUAGCUGGGCAUGGUGGUGCCUGCCUGUAGUCCUAGCUACUUGGGACGCUGAGGCAGAAGGAUUGCUUGAGCCCAGGAGUUUGAGGCUACAGUGAGCUGUGAUCAUGCCACCACAUGCCAGUCUGGGCAGCAGAGCAAUAUCUUGUCUCUAAAAAAAUAAAAAUAAUAAUAAAAUAACUAUGAUCAAUACAUUAAGGGCACUAAUGGAAAAAGUAGACAACAUGCCAGAAUAGAUGGAUAAUGAAGCUAGAGAGAAGGAAAUGCCAAUAAAGACUCAAAAGAAAAUACUAGAAAUUAAAAAGAAAACUAACAGAAACAAGGAAUGCCUUUGAUAGGUUCAUCAAUGGACUGGACACAGCUGAGGAAAAAGAUCAAUGAGCUAAAGAUAUGUCAGUAGAAACCUCUCAAACUGAAAUGCAAAUAGAAAAAAAAGACUAAAAAAUAAAACAGAAGAGAAUAUCCAAGAACUAUGGGACAAUUUCAACACAAGUAACAUGUGCUAAAUUGGAAUACCAGAAGAAGGAAUAGAGAAUGAAGCAGAAGAAAUAUUUGAAGUAAUAAUGGCAGAUAACUUUCCAAAAUUAAUAGACACCAAACAAUACAUCCAAGAAGUUCAGUGGACAAUGGGCAGAAUAAAUACCAAAAGAAAACACCACUACACCUAGGCAUAUAAUAUUCAAACUGCAUAAAACCAAAAACAAAGAGGAAAUUGCCGAGACCAGCUCAGUCAUGGAGACCCUAGCCCAGUGGCGCUAGAGGAAUUAAAGACACACACACAGAAAUAUGGCAUGUGGAGUGGGAAAUCAGGGUUCUCACAGCCUUCAGAGCUGAGAGCUCCAAACAGAGAUUUACCCACAUAUUUACUGACAGCAAGCCAGUGAUAAGCAUUGUUCUAUAGAUUAUAGAUUUACUAAAAGUAUUCCUUACGGGAAACAAAGGGAUGGGCAGAAACAAAGGGAUGGGCUCUGGCUAGUUCUCUGCAGCAGGAACAUAUCCUUAAGGCACAGAUUGCUCAUGCUAUUGUUUGUGGCUUAGGAACGCCUUUAAGCGGUUUUCCGCCCUGGGUGGGCUAGGUGUUCCUUGCCCUCAUUCCGGUAAACCCACAACCUUCAGCGUGGGCAUCAUGGCCAUCAUGAACAUGUCACAGUCUUGCAGAGAUUUUGUUUAUGGCCAGUUUAUGGCCAGAUUUGGGGGCCUAUCCCCAGCAGGAAAUAAUGAAAGAAACCAGAGGGGAAAAAAACACCUUACCUGUGGAAGAACAAGGAUAAGAACUGCAGUGGAAUUGUCACCAGAAACCAUGCAAGCAAGAAGACAGUGAAGUGAAAUAUUUAAACUGUUCAAAGAAAAAACAACCAACCUAAAAUUCUUUUUUUUUUUUUUUUUUUUUUGAGACAGGGUCUCACCCUGGCUCGGGCUAGAGAGCGGUGGUGCAAUCAUGGCCCCCUGCAGCCUAGACCUCCUGGGCUCAAGCUAUCCUCCCACCUCGGCCUCCUGAGUAGCUGGGACUACAGGCACAUGUCACCAUGCCAGGCUAAUUUUUGUAUCUUUUUGUAAAGACAGAGUUUCUACAUUUUGCCUAGGCUGGUCUCAAACUGCUGAGCUAAGUGAUCCACCUGCCUUGGCCUCCCACAGUGCUGGGAUUACAGUUGUGCACCACUGUGUCCAGCCUAAAAUUCUAUAUCCAGCAAAAUUAUCCUUCAAAAGUGAAGGAGAAAUGAAAUAAGUACUUUCUCAGACAAAUAAAAACUGAUGGAAUUCAGCACCAGCAAACCUGCACUUUAAGAAAUGUUAAAAGAUUUUCUUCAGGCAACUGAGAUCUACAUAAAGAAUGAAAGAGGAUUAGAAAUGAAAUAAAUGAAAGUAAAGAAAAAUAUUUAUUUUUCUUAUUCUUAAUUGAUCUAAAAGAUAACUGUCUGAAGAAAUAAUAGCAACAAUAUACUGAGUGAUUAUAGUGUAUGAGUAAUUGAAAUGAAUGACAAAUGCUCUGCAUUAAGGUAUGUGCACUACAUACAAGUUAAGCAUAAGAGUGUUAUCUGAAAGUGGACUUGGCUGGGCACGGUGGCUCACGCCUAUAAUCCCAGCACUUUGGGAGGCCGAGGCAGGUGGAUCACGAGGUCAGGAGAUCAAGACCAUCCUGGCUAACACAGUGAAACCUUGUCUCUACUAAAUAUACAAAAAAAAAAAUUAGCCGGGCAAGGUGGUGGGCACCUAUAGUCCCAGCUACUCAGGAGGCUGAAGCAGGAGAAUGGUGUGAACCCAGGAGGCAGAGCUUGCAGUGAGCCGAGAUUGCGCCACUGCACUCCAGCCUGGGCGACAGAGCGAGACUCUGUCUCAAAAAAAAAAAAAAAAUUAGCCGGCGUGGUGGCACAUGCCUGUAGUCCCAGCUACUCGGGAGGCUGAAGCAGGAGAAUCACAUGAACCCAGGAGGUGGAGGUUGCAGUGAGCCAAGGUCGCACCAUUGCCCUCCAGCCUGGGCAACAGAGUGAGACUCCGUCUCAAAAGAAAAAAAAAGAAAGUGGACUUAGAUUGGUUAAAAUAUGUAGUAAACUCAAGAGAAAUCAGUAAAAGUUGUUUAAAAAAGUAUAACUGAUACUCUAAGAGAGGAGACAAAAUGAAACCAUGUAAAAUAAUUAAAACCAGAGAAGGCAGAAAAAGAAACCUUGGACAACAAAUAGAAAACUGUUACGAACAUGGUUGAUAUUAAUCCAAAUAUAUCAAGAAACACUCUAAAUGUGAGUAGUCAAAAUACACCAAUUGAAGACAAAAUUUGUCAGAGUGAAUUUUAAAAAAAACCAACUAGGCCAAGCACAGUGGCUCACGCCAGUAAUCCUAGCACUUUGGGAGGCCGAGGUGAGCAGAUCACUUGAGCCCAGGAGUUUGAGACCAGCCUAGGAAACAUGGUGAAACCCCAUCUCUACAAAAAAUACAAAAAUUUGCCAGGUGUGGUGGCAUGUGUCUAUGGUCACAGCUACUCAGGAGGCUGGGGUAGGAGGCUCGAUUGAGCCCAGGAGGCCAAAGCUGCAGUGAGCCAUGAUCAUGCUACUGCACUCCAGCCUAGGUGACAGAAUGAGACCCUAUCUCAAAAAAAAGAAAAAACCCAACUACCUGUUGUCUACAAGAAGCCCACUUUAAACAUAAGACUGAGAGGUUAAACAUAAAGCAAUAGAGAAAGAUAUAUCCUACUACACUAAUGAAAAGAAAGCUGGAGUAGCUAUAUAAUUUUAGACAGAACUGACUUCAGAACAAAGACAAUUAUCAGAGAUAAAAAGGGGCAUUACAUAAUGAUAAAGGGAACAAUUCUCCAACACAUAAUAAUUAUAAUUAGUUAUGUACCUAACAAUAGAGUGUCAACAUAUGUGAGGCAAACACUAAUAGAAAUGAAAGGAGAAAUAGACAAAAAUCCAUUAUUAGAGUUGCAGACUUCAAUAACCCCUCCUGCCACUCAGUAAUUGAUAGAUUAAGCAGGCAGAAAAUCAAUAUGGAUAUAGUUGAUCUGAAAGGCAUACUAAUCAACUUUAGCUAAAUGACACUUCAUCUAAUUUACAGAACACCCCAACAGCAGAACACCAUUUUUUUCAAGCUCACAUAGAAAAUUCACCAAGAGAGAACAUAUUCUGGUCCAUAAAAGAUACCAUGACAAACUAAAAAUAAGAGAAAUCACAAGUAUGCUCUCAAUAAAAUUAAACUAAAAAUCAGUAACAGAAAGAUAGAUGGAAAACAAAUAUCUGGAAAUUAAAGAUACGUCUAAAUAACACAGCUCAAAAAGAGCUCUCAAAAGAAAUGAACCAACCCAAAUGCCCAUCAAUGAUAGACUGGAUUAAGAAAAUGUGACACAUAUACACCAUAGAAUACUAUGCACCCAUAAAAAAGGAUGAGUUCAUGUCCUUUGCAGGGACAUGGAUGAUGCCUGAAACCAUCAUUCUCAGCAAACUAACACAAGAACAGAAAACCAAAUACUGCAUGUUCUCACUUAUAAGUGGGAGUUGAUCAAUGAGAACACAUGGACACAGGGAGGGCAGCAUCACACACCAGGGCCUGUCAGGAGGUGGGGGGUAAGGGAGGGAUAGCAUUAGGAGAAAUACCUAAUAUAGGUAACGGGUUGAUGGGUGUGGCAAACCACCAUGGAACAUGUAUACCUAUGUAACAAACCUGCACGUUCUGCUUAUGUACCCCAGAACUUAAAGUAGUAAAAAAAAAAAAAGACACAGCAAGAAGUUCACAGUCUGCAACUUGAAAGAGGACCCUCACAAGAACCCAACCAUGCUGGUACCUGAUCUUGGACUUCCAGACUUCCAGAACUGUGAGGAAAAAAAUAUUGCUGUUGUUUAUAAGCCACCCAGACUAUGGUAUUUUAUUAUAGCAACCCGAACAGACUGGUAUGGUUAAUGUAUGGAUUUUUGCCAAUUUUUACCUUACCCUCCAACAUUAAAGAAACUUGUUACUUUGCUACUUUAUUUUCUUCCCC